rnacentral:lncRNA from 1 species
CCGGCACGGGGGGAAAUCGCUCACAAGCAAGGAGGUGAUUAAAAAUAUCCACCCUAUUUCUGGCCGGCAUGGCGCUGGGAAGAGCUGCUGGCAACGCAGGGCGGCCCUGCAGCCUCUCCCUCUUCCAGGGCAGCACAGGAUCGCGCUGUUCUUUCCAUGCUGGUCACCUUCCUGCCCGGCACCAGGAAGGCGGUGACAAGAGGGUCCCCCCGGUCCCAGCCGCGGCAGGGACGCAGAGCCAGCCCCGUGACACCACAGCCCGUCCUUCUUUGUGUGCUUUCCCCGAAACGCCCCACGCACGACAGCAUUUCGCCGAGGAUGACGCAGGGCCUCGGGGGGUUGCAACACACAGCGCUUCCUCCCCGUGCCGGGAGGAUGCUGCGCCCAUCCCUCUGUGUCACCUUCCCAGCAGCACCUUAUCCCCUCGUUCCCAUGCCCAGCAGGCAGCCCGCCCCUCGCCCCUGUGUGCUGCCGUAGCACCGGCAAAAACGUGCACAGGGAACACAUCACCCCACGACGCGAUGGAAUGUUCGGAAUUAAUUCGUGCCCAGGGCUCACCGGGUGGCAGGGGCAGGUCUCAGCUCCCCCAGAGCCUUCCCAUGGGAUCUGGUCCCCCAGGAAGGGGGAAGCAGGGACGCGGCACAGCACCGUGCAGAGCCGCAGGGGCAGCAGCUCUGCGCCGGGCAGGCACCGCUCCUGCCUCUCGCCCGGGCUUGUCCUGCUGCCUCAUUCCAGGGAUUUUCGUGCUGAGGCACAAUCCUGGCUGCGUUUGGGGCUGCUACCGGCCGGGCUCUGCACACUGCAGGGGCUCUGCUCUGCUCCCCACCUGCAGAGUGCCCAGCCCACAUCCAAGCCCCCAUUUGCCUCUCAGCACCCCUCUCCCUGGCUGUGAGUGCACAUUUUGGGGUGUCCCCGUUGCUCUGCACAGUGGGGACAACACAUGGUGCAGCCCCACACGGCUCCCAGGGCGGAGGAUGGGGACAUUCUGGCUUCAGCCCCGCUCCCAGCAGGAUAACAAAAGCCAGCACCCACCUCCAUGUUCCCACCACCCUCCAUAGAGUGUCCCCAGCCAGGGACAAGGCGGGACCACCAGGUGGGCACAGCAGCGCCCAUGGGACCGGCACACAUUGCAGGGUCUGCACUGCCCAAGUCAUGAUUUGGGUUCUGCUCCUCUGCUUCUGCAACCCAAAGCCUUGCACUCGGUGGUCAGAAAUGCCAGACCUCCCCAUAAUGCCAGUGUCAGGGCUGCACCGUGGGUCCCAGAUCUGGACCCGCACCCCUUGUUGGCUCAGGCACUUAAGGGUUAAUUAACCCCCUUCCC